GGCCGAGUGGCGGAAUUGGCAGACGCACGGGAUUUAAAAUCCCGUGAGGGUAUCCCUCGUGCGGGUUCGAGUCCCGCCUCGGCUA
rnacentral:tRNA from 1 species